UCCAAAGGCUGAUGCAAACUUUUACAUUGAUACUGGAGGGGACAAAGUGGGACUUGACAUCAAAUACAUCAAUGCCUUCAAAGGUCGUGGCAUCUUCACCUCUGCUCUAUUUGAAGGGGGAGAAUUUCUGUUUGAAUAUAGAGGUGAACUAAUAAGCCAGCAAGAAUGUGAAUGGAGACACUCACGACUGCCUGAAGGUGUUCAUGUUCGAGUUCCAUUUUAAUGGAAAACUAUGGUGUUUUGAUGCAGCAAAAGAGGAUGGGUCGCUUGGAAGACUUGUGAACGAUAAUAAUGUCAACCCCAAUGCCAAGAUGAAGUACCUAAACAUACAAGGGAAGCCCCAUCUGUGUUUGUUUGCAACACCAGACAUCAGUCAAGGAGAGGAGGUCACCUAUAAUUAUGGUGACUCGGAUUGACCGUGGAGAUGCAAGAAAUCUAAAGGAAAGUCUUCGGACGGGGAGCACGGUGAGGGUCCAUCUACAGCCGAGCCUUCUCAGUGUACUCAAAAGGUUUCAACAAGUAAGAGGCAAGAAAAGAGAUCUCCAGGUGCAUCAACGAGUCUGCUCAAAAGAUAUGAAAAGAUGAUAACAGUGAGCUGAUUGAGUCUGCUCAGAGGGACGAAACUGACCAGCUUGAGACCUCUGUGGAUGGCCUGAAUCCAACAUUCACACAACUUGGUCUCCUCAACAGGGUUGAAGAGUUUGUUCUGGCAUCAAUCCUCAGAAGAGUUACAAAUGAUAACCAACACCCAUCACAGGUGAGUGGAACACAGAACAGAGCACAUGGGGUUUGUUGUUGGUCUUUAGCUGUCUAUCAUCCGAUGAAGAAUGCACACCGGACUCGGAAACACAAGAUGACGACGAUGAUGAUUAUGAUGAUGAUGAUGCAAGCAUCCCCAUUACGCCUCAUCAGUUGAAACCAGGACGGAUUCAAGUGAAACCAGUACUACCUGACGCUGGAGCAUCCCAGUCGUCAAAAGGUUGCCCAACUCUUCCAAUGCUGUUGAAACCUCGAGUUACCACGACUCAACACAGGAAAAGUGUGAAGUUGAACUUAACAGACAACAAGUAACUACAAACGAUUCCUGUUAUGUUUGUGGUAAGCCA